rnacentral:misc_RNA from 1 species
UCCUCGUUUAAAGCGAGGCAGUCUGUUUAGAGACCUCCUUGCGGAGUAACUAAACACAGGGGUUGCGCUCGUUGCGGCACUUAAGCCAACAUCUCACGACACGAGCUGACGACAACCAUGCAGCACCUGUCUAUCCCCUGCACCCUUUCGGGCCGUCACCGGCUUUCACCGAUUUUCGUGAUAGAUGUCAAGGCCAGGUAAGGUUCUUCGCGUUGCAUCGAAUUAAGCCACAUGCUCCACCGCUUGUGCGGGCCCCCGUCAAUUUCUUUGAGUUUUAAUCUUGCGACCGUACUUCCCAGGCGGUUCACUUAUCGCGUUAGCUGCGGCACGCAGGGGGUCGACUCCCCGCACACCAAGUGAACACCGUUUAGGGCCAGGACUA